UGGGGGGAAACGUAGGGAAACUUACGCUAAUACCGCAUACGACCUACGGGUGAAAGCAGGGGACCUUCGGGCCUUGCGCGAUUGAAUGAGCCGAUGUCGGAUUAGCUAGUUGGCGGGGUAAAGGCCCACACCAAGGCGACGAUCCGUAGCUGGUCUGAGAGGAUGAUCAGCCCACUGGAACUGAGACACGGUCCAAACUCCUACGGGAGGCACCAUUGGGGAAGAUGGAACAAUGGGCGAAGCCUGAUCCACCCUUACCCCGGGGGUGAAAAAGGCUUGCGGGUUGUCUUCCGUUUGGUUGGGACUAUUUCUGGGGGAGAAAAAACCCCGCUGGGG
rnacentral:rRNA from 1 species